rnacentral:rRNA from 1 species
GAUGAACGCUAGCUACAGGCUUAACACAUGCAAGUCGAGGGGCAGCAUGGUCUUAGCUUGCUAAGGCCGAUGGCGACCGGCGCACGGGUGAGUAACACGUAUCCAACCUGCCGUCUACUCUUGGACAGCCUUCUGGAAGGAAGAUUAAUACAAGAUGGCAUCAUGAGUCCGCAUGUUCACAUGAUUAAAGGUAUUCCGGUAGACGAUGGGGAUGCGUUCCAUUAGAUAGUAGGCGGGGUAACGGCCCACCUAGUCUUCGAUGGAUAGGGGUUCUGAGAGGAAGGUCCCCCACAUUGGAACUGAGACACGGUCCAAACUCCUACGGGAGGCAGCAGUGAGGAAUAUUGGUCAAUGGGCGAGAGCCUGAACCAGCCAAGUAGCGUGAAGGAUGACUGCCCUAUGGGUUGUAAACUUCUUUUAUAAAGGAAUAAAGUCGGGUAUGGAUACCCGUUUGCAUGUACUUUAUGAAUAAGGAUCGGCUAACUCCGUG